UCCGGUAUGGUGUAACGGCUAACAUUGCCGCCUUUCAUCGAUAAUUGAUUCGCGGCAGCUCGGGGUUCGAUUCCCCGUACCGGAA